rnacentral:rRNA from 1 species
CCUACGGGUGGCAGCAGUGGGGAAUAUUGCACAAUGGGCGCAAGCCUGAUGCAGCCAUGCCGCGUGUGUGAGGAAGGCCUUCGGGUUGUAAAGCACUUUCAGCGGGGAGGAAGGCGGUGAGGUUAAUAACCUCAUCGAUUGACGUUACCCGCAGAAGAAGCACCGGCUAACUCCGUGCCAGCAGCCGCGGUAAUACGGAGGGUGCAAGCGUUAAUCGGAAUUACUGGGCGUAAAGCGCACGCAGGCGGUCUGUCAAGUCGGAUGUGAAAUCCCCGGGCUCAACCUGGGAACUGCAUUCGAAACUGGCAGGCUAGAGUCUUGUAGAGGGGGGUAGAAUUCCAGGUGUAGCGGUGAAAUGCGUAGAGAUCUGGAGGAAUACCGGUGGCGAAGGCGGCCCCCUGGACAAAGACUGACGCUCAGGUGCGAAAGCGUGGGGAGCAAACAGGAUUAGAUACCCCGGUAGUC